rnacentral:lncRNA from 1 species
GAGAAGCUGAAGCUUAAAGAUGCUGAGUGGUCAAAGGCAUAACCAAAAAGAACCAGAGCCUGGUGCGCCUGGCUGGACACUCUAGCUGGCUCUCUAGAGAAGCCACUGUCUUGGCUUGAUUCUUUCUGGCUUUGGUGCUGAGCCACUCCAUGGCCUGCAGCAAGCCGGUCGCUCACUGUCUGCUCUCUAGAACCUGCUUUGUACAACUCUAGGGGCACUGAUCAUAUUCUAUCCUAGAGUUUUAUAAUACAAGGGCUCUGCUUUGACCAUACGCUUUUCUCAUUGGGAUGGUGAAAAUUACCAUUGUCACUGGUUAUGGUGCUUCUUCUGCAAGUAACAGAAAACUCCCAAUUGAACAACUUAUAAAAGUUUAAAAAAGAGGGAAAGAAAAAAGAAAGAAAGAGAAAGAAAGAAAGAAAGAAAGAAAAAGAAAGAAAGAAAGAAAGAAGAACGAACGAACGAGAUCAUCUCCUACAAAUGAGGUUCUGGUGUAGCCCAACUCUGGGUCUGGUUACGUCAGUGACAUCGCAAUGUCACUGGGGCCCUGGGCUCCUCCUGUCUUCCUUCCUUGCUUCCACUGGGCCCCCCAGAGCUGCAAGGUGGCCACUAUCGUUCCAGGCACCAUAUCCUGACACAACAAUCAAAGGAAGAAGAGGAACAGAUGUCUGCAUUACUGCUCUUCAAAAUCAAGAGAGAAAGUCGCCUGCUGCUAAUUCCUAGGUGUCUAGGAGUUCUGCCUGCUGAAUUGCCGUCAAAAUGAGACAGAGCCCAGCAGUUGUCAGCUGUCCAGCAAGGGUCCAUGAGAGCAUCCAAAUAAGGCAAGGUGUUUCUUUGAUGUUUCUCAGUCUCAGCAUUGGGAUUUUGUUUCUAUGAAUGCUUUUCUACCAAAUAGGAUGUUUAUAUCACUACGUCCUAUGGUAUUAUUGAAGUUACACAAACAGCAAUUUUGAACGAAAGCAGAUUUGGAUGGCUGGGAUCUACUUGGAUGUGUGAUGCUAAUGAACUGCAUAAUCUAGUUCUUUGUUCG